CGAUCAUUAUGGUCAAUCUCUCGUAAUCAUUCCAAUCCCUUGCUCCUCUAUGCCGUGAGCGGGUGGCGACAACUCUAGAUAUAAAUGAUUAAUUACCUCUUCUUACCGAGCUCGUGUAUAAUAUACUCCAAUCCUAGCUAUGACUGAAGAAAAUAAAAAGAUAUGUAGGACUGAAAGACCGAUGUAUCAGUCCUUAGGACCGUUGAAUGGUAAACAAGAUUGGACUUAUAAAAAAAGACUCAAAGGGGUGGUGGAAAAAGACUGAUAAGCGAUCAGUCCUAGGUGUGUUAAAAACAUAGAUGGCGCUCAAACAUUUUUAUAUUUUUCUAAAAUAUUUACUGUAAAAUAACAAUUAGCCUAGUUAUAACAAUUGGCUGAUGUCAAGAGGUUAAUAAAGUAUUUUUAGACAUAUCA
rnacentral:lncRNA from 1 species